AAAAUUUUCAUGGGGUGAUUAUCCUCUCUCCAAAAGAUGCAACUGAUGGAGUAUGCAGCACCCCCAUUUGGAGUCAUUAACCUUUCUCCAAAAGAUGCAAGUAAAGAUGCGUGUAGCACCCCCACAUUCUCAAUCAAUAUAUAACUCAAUCACCCUGCCUACUCCUUUUCAGAGUGCUUGGCGUGACAAUUAGUAGAGCAUUCAUUACCUCCAGUGAAAUCACUUCAAUCACCCUGCCUACUUUUCAGAGCACUUGGCGUGACAAUCAGUGUAGGAUUCAUUACCUCUAAUGAAAUCACUUUAAUCACCCAACCUACUCCUUUUAGAGCGCUUGGCAUGACAAUCAAUAGAACAUUAAUUACCUCUAGUGAAAUCACUUCGAUCCCUUUCGUCUAAGGUGGUAAUAUAUGCACCGUAGAUUCUUUCAUGCUUUCCACCAUCCACGGAUCAGUGGUUGCUCUGAUACCAACUGUUACGAACCUAGGUUUUAGCAA
rnacentral:misc_RNA from 1 species